UAAAAACAAUGGUCGGGGUUUCUAUAUUUAUGAGAAAGGAAGCAGACCAAAGCCCGAUCCUUCAGUUUUACCAAUUCUGGAGGAGUCUAGGCGCAUUGCCAACAUUAUGCCCAAUGGAAAGCCUAUUUCCAUUUCUGAUCAGCAAAUUUUGGAAAUGGUACUCUUUCCUGUGGUAAACGAGGGAUGUCGAGUGGUGGAAGAAGGAAUUGUCAUUAGGCCGUCUG
rnacentral:misc_RNA from 1 species